UGUAUUUAACGUAAAAUCGAGUUUUAUUAUUGUAUUAAAUAUUUUGAUGAAAUGAAAUUUUAAAGACAAUCAAUCUUGUGAUAUCUUGUUUUUUAUAAUUUUCAAGUUAUUGAUGACCUGUGAACGAUUAAAUUUAAAUGAGGUUGGCUUCAAUCUUGCUGGAAUUUUCCCUUUGGACUCUGAACACUAUCUUUUGUAUUUACUGGAAAACGCUGGGUUGAUGUUGAUGUUCAUAACAAAUUUUAAUAAAUCAAGCUCUAAUCAACAGCCAAGUAUCCCUCUUCAAACACAAAAUGUGACAAAUCAAGAAAAUCCUUCGACAUCCUGGUGAAAAUUUUAUAUGUCGCUAUCCAUUAUGGAUAUCCUGCUAUUUACAUGUUUAUCACGCUUUUUUCUUUAGUGCCAAGAAGUUUCACAAGAAAUUCCAGGACCUAGAAAAUAAUGGAAUAAUAUUGCACAAUGAUGAAAAGGAGAACGAGAUGAAAGGACUAUAAACAUAUACAGAGUUCCUGGAAUCUCAUGUCAUUUCAUGAUCCAAAUAUAUGAAUUUAUUGAAGCAAUUAAAAGCGUCAGGAAUAAGCUUAUGAAUUAUUAUGAAUUAUAAAUUCACUCAAUAAUUCUAGCUAAAUGUGUUUUUAAAAAAUCUGUAUCCAAAUAUCAUUUUUUUGUGUAAUUCACGAGACUUGUUUGACUUUUAAUAGUUUGUUAAGCACACAGAAUUCAGUUUUUAGGGUUACAGUAAAGUACCAGAUAAUGAAAUUUAAUUUCUGAACUUCUGGACUCAUCUGGA